rnacentral:rRNA from 1 species
GUAGAACGCUGAAGAGAGGAGCUUGCUCUUCUUGGAUGAGUUGCGAACGGGUGAGUAACGCGUAGGUAACCUGCCUGGUAGCGGGGGAUAACUAUUGGAAACGAUAGCUAAUACCGCAUAAAAUUGAUUAUUGCAUGAUAAUUAAUUGAAAGAUGCAAUUGCAUCACUACCAGAUGGACCUGCGUUGUAUUAGCUAGUUGGUGAGGUAACGGCUCACCAAGGCGAGGAUACAUAGCCGACCUGAGAGGGUGAUCGGCCACACUGGGACUGAGACACGGCCCAGACUCCUACGGGAGGCAGCAGUAGGGAAUCUUCGGCAAUGGGGGGAACCCUGACCGAGCAACGCCGCGUGAGUGAAGAAGGUUUUCGGAUCGUAAAGCUCUGUUGUAAGAGAAGAACGGGUGUGAGAGUGGAAAGUUCACACUGUGACGGUAUCUUACCAGAAAGGGACGGCUAACUACGUGCCAGCAGCCGCGGUAAUACGUAGGUCCCGAGCGUUGUCCGGAUUUAUUGGGCGUAAAGCGAGCGCAGGCGGUUAGAUAAGUCUGAAGUUAAAGGCUGUGGCUUAACCAUAGUAUGCUUUGGAAACUGUUUAACUUGAGUGCAGAAGGGGAGAGUGGAAUUCCAUGUGUAGCGGUGAAAUGCGUAGAUAUAUGGAGGAACACCGGUGGCGAAAGCGGCUCUCUGGUCUGUAACUGACGCUGAGGCUCGAAAGCGUGGGGAGCAAACAGGAU